AGAGCACAGGUGCGGCACACACAAGCGUCCACCACCCCAAGAAAGCUCUAAGACUGGGGCCUCCCGUGUCCCUAACUGAGAUCUCCCUGAGUGAGGAGAUGAAUUCCCAGAGAGCAGGGCUGCAAGCGCGGACUGGGCAGGAGAGGCUCCUCGUGGGCAGAUGUCUCCCUCACCGAAGCUUGGAACAGACUCCUGGUCACUCGUCUUGCUCAGUAAAUGACUUCCCAUCCUGCCAGAAGUGUUUGCUCCCUGACUAAACAGAUGUAGUCUCUGAGUCGUGAGAAGUUCUCCGUUGACACCAUCCUGCCACACUCAGCCCACUGAGAGACAACAACCAUUCCCUUU
ensembl:ribozyme RNaseP_nuc Nuclear RNase P